rnacentral:rRNA from 1 species
UUGUUCUAGUUUUGUAACUAAAAUGGUUUGGCAGUGAGCGAUUCUUAUUAGGGGAAUAUGCAUAGUGAAGGAUGGUCCACCUAUUAGUUUACUCUUUUUAUGUUGGUGUAUGUCUGGUUUGAUAUUAUUGUUGAAUAAUUUAAGUUUGUGUAGUUUUAGUUAAGCUAAGUCUAUGUGCUGCUUAUGGGAGUUUUUGUGUGUUACAUUAAUAAGGGUGUUAUUGUAAGAUGAUGUGAUUU